AGAGAGAUGAAUGCAAUCAAAAUAUGUUAUAUGCAUGAAUUAAUAUAUGAAAACAAAUCCCACUAUUCUGUAUUACUAAUAUGAACAAAUAUAAAAAGAAUGUGGGGUCUGGUAGAAGGUCCUUAGGUCAUUGGGUACAUGAAUUAGUAAUCCUGGGGUCAUUUGGUGUCCCUGUAUGAUUCCUUGAGUUCUUAUGAUGGAGUUGUUAUAAAAGGAGCAAUCCUGAGCUCUCUCAUCCAUCUUGGUUCCUGCUUUGGGACAUGGCAGCUUGCUCUGACACAUGCUUCCUCAUUGUUAUCCCUCACAAGCUGAUGCAGACAACUGGCAACCUUGGGCUACCAUUUGGAUUUUGAACCUCCAAAACUAUUCAGAAAAUCAUCCUUCAAUUACGUGGUCCUUAUACAAGAUUUGUGAAGAAUGAAAACUACACUUGUGGCUGAGUCUUGCCGAAGAUCUGUGGUGUCAUAAAGAAGCAGACAGUAAUGGACCAGCAUAACUAGGCAAGGGCCUUUGUUGUUAUACAUUCUUUCAAAGCAUUAAAGUACUCGAAGAAAACGAAAGCUGGGAGCAUAUUGCUAACAUCAAAAGAGCAUCCGAGGAAUGCAGAAUUCCCGCUUUUGAGAAAGUGAUUUGGGCCCGACAUACAGGUCGAAAAAUCAAGAAAUGUUGCCAAAUAACAGACAACUCAUCUGCAAACACAAGAGUGCAUACUGGAAAUUGCUUGUAAAAUGAAAGCCAGCUGGCAUCACUAUAAAAAAGUCUUAGGAAAAAAGCCUCUUCAUCUAAUUCAUAAAUGGGAAAUUAAAUCUCCAGGCUUAACUGGCUCAGUUUUAUCUUUUUUUGUUUGUUUGAACUAUGCUUUGUUGGUUGAAUAACUGUGACAACAUUGAGACAGUUUGUGAGUAAAGCCAGGGGUGAUCUUUUAUAAAUAGUGUUAUAACUACUUCUCAAGAAAAGCCUUAGAUAAUACCAUGCCUGAACCCUUUGUGGAUGGUGCAGCCUCAGGCCAGUACAGUUGAUAAGCAGCAGAGGAAAUCUUCUGCCUAACUUAUGAGAUAUGUGUGUGCCUUCUGUGAAUAUAUAAUUAUAUGAUUAUAUAUACAGUAUACACACAAUCAGCAUUUAUUCCCAUACUCUUUUAUACUCUCUUCAGUACCAUAAGGGAGAAUCCUUUACUUUCACUGGUAUAAUUUAUGUAGCCUAUAAAAUGUAUACAUGUAAGAUUCCAAAGGCAGAACAGAAACUCAGUGAAUCUAUAUAUUAAAAAAUAAGAAUUUCUUUGGAAUAUAAAUAAUAUUUUCCCUGAUUUAUUGAUUUGGUAAGUCUAGAAUUGUAAAGAGAGUGCCCUGUUUGUUUAGUGUUUGGUGCAAUGAUUGAAUCUUUCAUUGAACAAAAAAGUGAAUGAAUCUUUUCUUCCUCCCUUUUGGGUUUACUUCUUAUAUGACACUGAGAGACUGAGCACAGUAUUUUGAGAUAGAUGACAAGGCAGUCACCUUUGAGUGGUACAGAUUUAGUAGCAACGGUAGAGUGUCUUAUUACAAUAUCUUUAGAGUAUGCCAUCCAAAAGUUCUCCCUCUGUGCCCUUAUGAUGAAAUCAAGAGAAUCAGGACUGAAGAUGCUGAUGGGGAGGGGAGGCAAGUGUGAGGAGGACAGCUUGUUUUCAUUUGAUCAAACAGCACUAGACUUGCAAAAAAGCAGUUGUAUUACUGAACAAUGUGAUGAUUCUCCCCAUGAAUCAUCCAAUAACCUCCAAGAAGCAUUCAAUCUGUCAAACUCUCAACAAGAUCUAGCUUUUGAUAAACAUAUUUACUUUAAUAGCAGUUCCUGAGAUGAAAGGUUCAGAUUUAUGGCUCCUAAUCUCUAUAACCUGAAAAUAUGAAAUAACUUCCCAGGAAGCUGCCUUGAAAAACUAUUCAAUUAAGCAAGAAUUACACUAGAAUCUUCUUUUUGGUUAAGACAUAUAAUGUUACUCAUUGAUUAAUCUCUUAUUCCUAAAAAUGAUGUAAAGAGGCUGGCUAUAUUAUACAUUGAAAAAUUCUGCCUGUUGGCCUAAUAUAAAAUGAGGAACUGUCCAAGAUGAACCCUAAGAUAUCUUCCAAAUCACAUCUUUUAUGAUACAAUUUCUGGGAGUCUGCCUCUCAAUAUUUUAUAACCAGGGGCCACACUAAGAUGAAACCUUAAUAAGAUUCCUCAUGUGGGGUAUAGAUAGAUCUUGGUUCAUCUUAGACUCUACCUGGUAUUUGCACUGUAGUGUUUCUGAAGUGUGCACAUAUCCACAGAGUGAUGUAAAUUUAAUUCCCUGGCAAAUUAGAUGACAAAGAUUUGUUUUCUGUUCUUGUGAUUAACUGGAUGAAUUUGGCAAAAGGUUAUCACUCAGUGGCAUAAAUUUAGUUAUGGGGAUGUUUAACUACAAUUUCUAUAUUAUAUGAAUUCUAAAAUUAGAUUUGAUGGGAAGGGAAGAUGGUUAAAAGGAUAGUAUAAUUUUCAAAUAGUAAAACCAGCAUUUGACCUGUGAGAAGGCAAUUCUAGUCUUAUUGAACAAUAUAGACUUUCUUCCCUGACUGACAGAUAUCCUUUUAAAGGCAAAGGUUCUCAAUUUUUUGAGAACUUUUAAUUAAUUAAGAUUAUUGGUACAUUUUAGGUUUACAUAAUGAUCACAUUGAUCACAGGGAGUUUGUACCUGUACAUGAUAUAUCUUGCUUCUUAUUUUUUCCCAUUCCCCUUCCUUCCCUUCAUCCUCUCCAUCCCUCCUUAUUUGCAAAAGCUUUGUUUCCAUUUUUCCUUCUUUUUUCAUUUUUUUCUUUCCUUUCCUUUCUUUCCCCAGGCCUCUCCCUAGUUCCCCUUCUCCUUUGAACAUUUUCAUCCUAUUUCACAAUAUCUAUUAUACAUUUUGG
ensembl:lncRNA